rnacentral:rRNA from 1 species
CCUGCCCUGUGACCAGAGUGUUUAACGGCCGCGGUAUCCUGACCGUGCGAAGGUAGCGCAAUCACUUGUCUUUUAAAUGGGGACCUGUAUGAAUGGCCUAACGAGGGCUUGACUGUCUCCUUUUUCCGGUCAAUGAAAUUGAUCUCCCCGUGCAGAAGCGGGGAUAAGCACAUAAGACGAGAAGACCCUGUGGAGCUUUAGACACAAGGCAGCCCAUGUCAAUAACCCCUAAACACAGGACCAAACCACAUGCCCCCUGCCCUCAUGUCUUCGGUUGGGGCGACCGUGGGGUAAAAGAAACCCCCCAUGAAGAGAGAGAGUACUUUCCUCCCAAAACCAAGAGUUCCCGCUCUAAUAAACAGAACUUCUGACCUAGUGAUCCGGCUAAGGCCGAUCAACGGACCAAGUUACCCCAGGGAUAACAGCGCAAUCCCCUUUUAGAGCCCAUAUCGACAAGGGGGUUUACGACCUCGAUGUUGGAUCAGGACAUCCUAAUGGUGCAGCCGCUAUUAAGGGUUCGUUUGUUCAACGAUUAAAGUCCUACGUGAUCU